rnacentral:misc_RNA from 1 species
ACAACGGAAACGCUCAGCACCAAUGGUGAUGACCUGACCAUCAGGCAAUUCAAAGCUCUUCUCCACUGAUGAGCUAGUUUUCGAGGUUUCUAGCUCCUGCUCAUAGUCAAGAGCAAUAUAAGACAGCUUUUCCUUCAUGUCCCUCACAAUUUCCCGUUCAGCUGAGGUGGUAAAAGAAUAUCCACGCUCAGUAAGGAUCUUCAUCAAGUGAUCAGUAAGGUCA